ACAGAGACAUACAGGUGAAUAUCUCUUCUGGAGGGGACAGAGACAUACAGGUGAAUAUCUCUUCUGGAGGGGACAGAGACAUACAGGUGAAUAUCUCUUCUGGAGGGGACAGAGACAUACAGGUGAAUAUCUCUUCUGGAGGGGACAGAGACAUACAGGUGAAUAUCUCUUCUGGAGGGGACAGAGACAUACAGGUGAAUAUCUCUUCUGGAGGGGACAGAGACAUACAGGUGAAUAUCUCUUCUGGAGGGGACAGAGACAUACAGGUGAAUAUCUCUUCUGGAGGGGACAGAGACAUACAGGUGAAUAUCUCUUCUGGAGGGGACAGAGACAUACAGGUGAAUAUCUCUUCUGGAGGGGACAGAGACAUACAGGUGAAUAUCUCUUCUGGAGGGGACAGAGACAUACAGGUGAAUAUCUCUUCUGGAGGGGACAGAGACAUACAGGUGAAUAUCUCUUCUGGAGGGGACAGAGACAUACAGGUGAAUAUCUCUUCUGGAGGGGACAGAGACAUACAGGUGAAUAUCUCUUCUGGAGGGGACAGAGACAUACAGGUGAAUAUCUCUUCUGGAGGGGACAGAGACAUACAGGUGAAUAUCUCUUCUGGAGGGGACAGAGACAUACAGGUGAAUAUAUCUUCUGGAGGGGACAGAGACAUACAGGUGAAUAUCUCUUCUGG